AAAAGACUGGCCGGGUACCUUAUCUACACUGUUCUCUUACAGGGUUCCUGACCUUGUGUGUAUGAAGGUUCCCUGUUCUCUCCAUUCUUGACAGCGUUUGUUGUUGCCUGACUGUUGGAUAAAAGCCAUUUUAACUGGGCCACUCUAUUGGAAUGUUUACCCCAUUUACAUUCAAUGUCAUUAUUGGCAGCAAGUUCCUCCAGGCCACAAGCAGGUCCAGAGGUGC